AACGCGAAGAACCUUACCUGGGUUUGACAUCCCCGGACAAUCCUAGAAAUAGGACUUUUGUAGUAAUACAACCGGGAGACAGGUGCUGCAUGGCUGUCGUCAGCUCGUGGGGUGACCUGUUGGGUUAAGUCCCGCAACGAGCGCAACCCCUAUCUUUAGUUGCCAGCAUUAAGUUGGGCUCUCUAGAGAGACUGCCGUGGUUAACACGGAGGAAGGUGGGGAUGACGUCAAGUCCUCAUGGCCUUUAUAUCCAGGGCGACACACGUGAUACAAUGGACGGUACAAAGGGAUGCCAAGUGGCAACACGGAGCUAAUCUCAAAAAGCCGUUCUCAGUUCGGAUUGGAGUCUGCAACUCGACUCCAUGAAGUUGGAAUCGCUAGUAAUCGCGGAUCAGCACGCCGCGGUGAAUACGUUCCCGGGCCUUGUACACACCGCAUAC
rnacentral:rRNA from 1 species